rnacentral:rRNA from 1 species
GCGAGCGUUAAUCGGAAUUACUGGGCGUAAAGCGUGCGCAGGCCGUUUGGUAAGACAGAUGUGAAAUCCCCGGGCUUAACCUGGGAACUGCAUUUGUGACUGCCAGACUAGAGUGUAGCAGAGGGGGGUAGAAUCCACGUGUAGCAGUGAAAUGCGUAGAGAUGUGGAGGAAUACCGAUGGCGAAGGCAGCCCCCUGGGCUAACACUGACGCUCAUGCACGAAAGCGUGGGGAGCAAACAGGAUUAGGCACCCUGGUAGUCCACGCCCUAAACGAUGUCAACUAGGUGUUGGGGAAGGAGGCUUCUUUAGUACCGCAGCUAACGCGUGAAGUUGACCGCCUGGGGAGUACGGUCGCAAGAUUAAAACUCAAAGGAAUUGACGGGGACCCGCACAAGCGGUGGAUUAUGUGGAUUAAUUCGAUGCAACGCGAAAAACCUUACCUACCCGUGACAUGUCAGGAAGAUCGCAGAGAUGGGAUUGUGCCCGAAAGGGAACCUGAACACAGGUGCUGCAUGGCUGUCGUCAGCUCGUGUCGUGAGAUGUUGGGUUAAGUCCCGCAACGAGCGCAACCCUUGUCAUUAAUUGCCAUCAUUCGGUUGGGCACUUUAAUGAGACUGCCGGUGACUAACCGGAGGAAGGUGGGGAUGACGUCAAGUCCUCAUGGCCCUUAUGGGUAGGGCUUCACACGUAAUACAAUGGUCGGUACAGAGGGUUGCCAACCCGCGAGGGGGAGCCAAUCUCAGAAAGCCGAUCGUAGUCCGGAUCGGAGUCUGCAACUCGACUCCGUGAAGUCGGAAUCGCUAGUAAUCGCGGAUCAGCAU